UUUAAUUGUCCCUAUUUUAACUCAGCUUAAGUGGAAGGCAAAGAAGGCCUCCUUCUAGGGGGCCCGAGCCAUCAAUGAGAUACCAGUCUAGAAGAGUUAGAAUUCUAACCUUGUAUCAGGACUUACGGGGCAAGGGACAGUUGGGUAGACAAUUUCUAUGGGGCAUAGGCCUCCCAAAAGGUAACGGAGGCAUGCAAAGGUUUCCUCGGGCCGGAUAUUCAUAAUGAUACCAUCAGCGCUUUAGGGCGACCCUAAGAUAUGUUUUCUGAUACCGCUAUACAAUUACAAUCCGCCUUUGCUCAAUGGAUACAAA
rnacentral:ncRNA from 1 species